ACCUACGUUUUUGCUGCCCCCCUGACCAAAAAUCCUGCAUGGCUACGUUUCUGGACAUUUUGGAGAGAAGUGAUGUUUUGAUAAAGAGAAAACUACUCAGUCUGAGUCAGGUAAUCUGUUGGUCUUGUUCCGAUUUGCGUCUUAAUGCUGUUGGAUAGCAUAUUUAAAUUUACUUGAGUGAGAAUGGACAGUGUGUUAUGGAAAUUUAAAGCUGUUAAUGCUAAAUAGAUAAGACAAAAACUCCCAUUCUCUUGGUAUGCGCGCGUCGUAUGCGCAAGUUAUUAUAAUUAGAUUGCAAACGUUACGCCAUUAAUGCUGUUGCAUAACAAUACCUCCUAAAAUCUACUACGCUAUUUCCUUCUGCUUUGUUUUUUUUUGAUAAACUGAUCACGAUGAUUGCACAAAUAUAUUGAAUUGGCGAAAAGGCGUUCGUGGUAAAGGC